GCCCAGAAGAUCCUGAGGAAAGAGAGGAACAAAAGGCAACGCAGAUGACUUUGGCAGAUAGAACGGGCCCCCUUGAGGCUUCCCACGCCCACUGCUGGCAGACUCANAGCACUGACUCAUGAUGCUGAGCCCUCUGGAAGGAGAGGGAGGAGCCUGCUCUUCAAAGGGAAGAGAAGCUUUGCCCUGAAAGCNGCCCAGCGCGCCACACUGCUUUGCACAGAACCGCCCGCGUAGCUCCAAUCCAGGUCAUGUGACCUCAGGGAAGGUGACUGGGGGCCAUGAGAAGGCAUCGGUCCAACCGUCGCAUGGCUGNGCCAGGUGCAGCCUCGGCUUGCGGUGCCCCCCUCUGACUCACAAUUACGCAGCCAGUUUGCUGUGGGAAAAGGAAGCCCAGCGUCCAACAGCGGCGGCUACCCUCCGUCUUGAGGGAACGGUUGGAGCCGCUUCAGCUCGCCGAAGCCAUCAGAGGCUCACAGUGCCAAGGGCAACUGAUCUUAUCCAGCCGGGGCUAAAACAGGUAAAGAGGAGCUGGUGUUGCUGGAGUGUCUUGGUGAGUCACGGAUAAUCGCUGGAACGGAUCCAGGCACCCUCUUUC
rnacentral:lncRNA from 1 species